AUUGAACGCUGGCGGCAUGCCUUACACAUGCAAGUCGAACGGUAACAGGUUAAGCUGACGAGUGGCGAACGGGUGAGUAAUAUAUCGGAACGUGCCCAGUCGUGGGGGAUAACGUAGCGAAAGCUACGCUAAUACCGCAUACGAUCUACGGAUGAAAGCGGGGGAUCGCAAGACCUCGCGCGAUUGGAGCGGCCGAUAUCAGAUUAGCUAGUUGGUGAGGUAAAGGCUCACCAAGGCGACGAUCUGUAGCUGGUCUGAGAGGACGACCAGCCACACUGGAACUGAGACACGGUCCAGACUCCUACGGGAGGCAGCAGUGGGGAAUUUUGGACAAUGGGCGCAAGCCUGAUCCAGCAAUGCCGCGUGCAGGACGAAGGCCUUCGGGUUGUAAACUGCUUUUGUACGGAGCGAAACGGUCUUCUCUAAUACAGGGGGCUAAUGACGGUACCGUAAGAAUAAGCACCGGCUAACUACGUGCCAGCAGCCGCCGUAA
rnacentral:rRNA from 1 species